rnacentral:rRNA from 1 species
UACGUAGGGCGCAAGCGUUGUUCGGAAUUACUGGGCGUAAAGGGCUCGUAGGCGGCCAACUAAGUCAGACGUGAAAUCCCUCGGCUUAACCGGGGAACUGCGUCUGAUACUGGAUGGCUUGAGGUUGGGAGAGGGAUGCGGAAUUCCAGGUGUAGCGGUGAAAUGCGUAGAUAUCUGGAGGAACACCGGUGGCGAAGGCGGCAUCCUGGACCAAUUCUGACGCUGAGGAGCGAAAGCCAGGGGAGCAAACGGG